ensembl:lncRNA
GUAUGAAGGAGCAUUUCAUGGGAGUCACGGUCCCAUGCCCCUGUGUCAGGGCACACAGAGCUCCUAGCCUUGCAUCCUGCGUGAGAGGGGACCUGGAAUAUUCCCUGAUCCCCACAGGGUCCUGGAUUGCAAGGUUCCCCCUCAGGUAUGGUCCUCCCUGUGCCUCAUGGGGUACGCAGCUUCUACGGGCUGAAUUUAUAUCAGUGAUUAACUGGAGCUGGACCACAACCACACCAAAGGCAAGCCCUGGGCACUGAGGACAUUAAGAGCAGCAGACAACAUCUCCUCCGCUGCUUCUGACUCUGCUCCACAAGCCAAGGCAGCUCCCACACAGCAGGUAUCCAGCCUAACUCCCAGCAGGGAGAGUGUGAGAUGUCUGUGGAUGAGCCCACAGGGACUACAGGAUUCUGUGGGAAGACAUCUGGUAGCUUCUGGAGCAGCUGCAGCAGCCAGGACACAUGAACUACAGUGGAGGUCUUGCUUUUAACUACUGGACCCAACACAAAGCCUCCCUUGCAGGCUUACCAGAGCAUGAAAACGAAAUGGCCACCUCCUGUAACAAGAAACACUUCUAGAAGAGGAAGGAGACAUCAAUACAUUCACAAAACCUUCAACUCGAAAUCUGUCUUGCCAAUAAGUGUGCAGGGAUAAAGACAGAAAAGUAGCACACCUGUCUCCAGAGGCUUCACUCAGCAGCUGAAAGCCACAGCCAAUCCUCAGAUGGAGCUCGGGAAGUCUUGUGGAAGAGUGGGGGGAGAGUGACAAGGAAACUGGUUGGGUUAAAACACUACAAGAAGUCCC